rnacentral:rRNA from 1 species
AAUGGAGGAAACUCUGACGCAGCAACGCCGCGUGAAUGAUGAAGGCCUUAGGGUUGUAAAGUUCUGUCUUCUGGGACGAUAAUGACGGUACCAGAGGAGGAAGCCACGGCUAACUACGUGCCAGCAGCCGCGGUAAUACGUAGGUGGCAAGCGUUGUCCGGAUUUACUGGGCGUAAAGGAUGCGUAGGCGGAUAUUUAAGUCAGAUGUGAAAUACCCGGGCUCAACUUGGGUGCUGCAUUUGAAACUGGAUAUCUAGAGUGCGGGAGAGGUAAGUGGAAUUCCUAGUGUAGCGGUGAAAUGCGUAGAGAUUAGGAAGAACACCAGUGGCGAAGGCGACUUACUGGACCGUAACUGACGCUGAGGCAUGAAAGCGUGGGGAGCAAA